ACUGGAAGUCCACACUCUGCAAAUCCCUCAAUUUCUUCCUCGCCAAACAGAAACACAAAUACGCCCAAUUACCAACCCUUUGAUCAGACGAUAAUAAAAACCCCUAAACAAUUGAAUUUGAUAGAGAAAACAGAAGAAGAAGAAGAAGAAUGUUUCGAAUCACAAGAGCUAGACCUCUGUCGCCACUAGCCCACCAAUUCGUCCAACGAUGUUCUGUGAGCGGAACAGCCAAAGGCAAGGCCAAAAUGAAAGAUGGUCAACCCAAGAAACGCAACAAAAUAUCCGCUAAGAAAGGCUCCAAAGAUCAAGAUCCUUCUAAGUCACCUUCAUUCUCGCGUCAAGACGCCGAGAAGUACCGUUUGUACGAGGAAUGCAUCAAUGCCCCUACCCCAGUUCGUUUCCUCAAACCCAAAGAACGAGCGCGUGAAGCCGAGCGCGAGAAGUUGGGGCUUGAAAGCCAGGAGAGGAAGCGCGAGAAAGAAAUUCUCAAGAAAGGAGGCAGGCAAGCCAUGGGAGUUCCUGAUGAGCCGAUGAUCAUGGGAACUCCUGGAUUGGACCUUAUAGCUCUUGGAUUGGUGGAUGUGGAUAAGAUACCCAAGUAUGAGCUGACUGAGGAGGAUGGGAAGAGAUUGGCCAAGGAGUAUAGCAGAGUUUUGAUGAGGAAGCACAGGGCCAGACAAGCAGCAGAGUCGACCCUGUUGAGGUUGAAGAAGGAGGCCAUUGAGGCAUUGCCAGAGAAGUUGAAGCAGGCUGCUUUGGUUCCAGAUUUGACGCCUUUUCCAGUGAACAGGUUCAUGGCGACCCUGACUCCCCCAAUUGAAGGAUACAUUGAGAAGGUUAAGGAAGCAGCAAGGAGAAGCUCAGGG
rnacentral:misc_RNA from 1 species